rnacentral:rRNA from 1 species
CCCUUAGAUGUUCUGGGCCGCACGCGCGCUACACUGACGAAGUCAGCGAGCAUGUCCUACGCCGACAGGUGCGGGGAAUCCUGUCAAACUUCGUCGUGAUGGGGAUUGAUUAUUGAAAUUCUUGAUCAUCAACGAGGAAUUCCUAGUAAGCGCAAGUCAGCAGCUUGCGUUGAUUACGUCCCUGCCCUUUGUACACACCGCCCGUCGCUACUACCGAUUGAAUGGUUUAGUGAGAUCUUCGGAUUGGCGCCACUGCGGCUCAGCAAUGGGCUCGGUGGAUGCCGAAAAGUUGAUCAAACUUGAUCAUUUAGAGGAAGUAAAAGUCGUAACA